rnacentral:rRNA from 1 species
UCGGGAAUUUUGCACAAUGGGCGAAAGCCUGAUGCAGCAACGCCGCGUGAGGGAUGAAGGCCUUCGGGUUGUAAACCUCUUUUCUCAGGGACGAUGAUGACGGUACCUGAGGAAGAAGCCACGGCUUACUACGUGCCAGCAGCCGCGGUAAUACGUAGGUGGCAAGCGUUGUCCGGAUUUACUGGGCGUAAAGAGCGCGCAGGCGGUCCUUCAAGUCGGAUGUGAAAGUCCCCGGCUCAACUGGGGAGGGUCAUUCGAUACUGAUCGACUCGAAGGCAGGAGAGGGAAGCGGAAUUCCCGGUGUAGUGGUGAAAUGCGUAGAUAUCGGGAGGAACACCAGUGGCGAAGGCGGCUUCCUGGCCUGUUCUUGACGCUGAGGCGCGAAAGCUAGGGGAGCAAACGGG